rnacentral:misc_RNA from 1 species
GAUGAAGAACGUAGCGAAAUGCGAUAAGUAGUGUGAAUUGCAGAAUUCCGUGAAUCAUCGAAUCUUUGAACGCACAUUGCGCCCGCCAGCACUCUGGCGGGCAUGCCUGUUCGAGCGUCAUUUCAACCAUCAAGCCCCAGGCUUGCGUUGGAGCCCUGCGGCUGCCGCAGCCUCCUAAAAGCAGUGGCGGGCUCGCUAUCACACCGAGUGCAGUAGAUUACUCUUCGCUCAGGGCGUGCAGCGGGUUCCGGCCGUGAAACCCCCUACUUUUAAAGGUUGACCUCGGAUCAGGUAGGAAUACCCGCUGAACUUAAGCAUAUCAAUAAGCGGAGGA